rnacentral:tRNA from 1 species
UGCAAGUUCAUACAAUAUAUAAAAUCGGGCUCAUAACCCGAAGGUCGUAGGUUCAAAUCCUACCCCCGCUACCA